AACGAACGCUGGCGGCGCGCCUAAUACAUGCAAGUCGAGCGAGAAGACGUAGCAGUACGUUUGUAAAGCGGCGAACGGGUGAGGAAUACAUGGGUAACCUACCCUCGAGUGGGGAAUAACUAGCCGAAAGGUUAGCUAAUACCGCGUACGCUCCUUGGACUUCGGUUCAGGGAGGAAAGCGAUACCGUGGGUAUCGCGCUCUUGGAUGGGCUCAUGUCCUAUCAGCUUGUUGGUGAGGAACGGCUCACCAAGGCUUCGACGGGUAGCUGGUCUGAGAGGACGAUCAGCCACACUGGCACUGCGACACGGGCCAGACUCCUACGGGAGGCAGCAGUAAGGAAUAUUGCGC
rnacentral:rRNA from 1 species